GAGCCACCCAGGUGCCCCUAGAUAUGUUUUUAAAAGAAUGAAUUCAAGCCAAUAUACAGAAAUAUAUACUGCCGUUAAGAUAUUUUACAUUUACGUUGUCAUUAAUCUUUUCAAACUAAAAGGCUCUUAAAUAUAGCAAAAAUUAAUGCCAAUCAACCACAUAGUAAAUCUGCAUUCUGGAAGAUACGUGCAAAUCUUGAACUUUUUACAUUUCUUAAGAGGAAAUCAUUUUGUAUUUUCAGACAAUGAAAUCAUACUUAAAGAGAGUUUUUUAGCCCAAAAUAAUGAAUUUCACCACAAAAUUGGACAUAUUACCUCAUUUAAUGAAGGAGCUUACUUCUUGACAGACAUCAGCUCCUGUAUCUUCAUCUGUUAUAAUUUAGAGAGAGGAGUUUCUUUGGAGGUGAAUUUAUUAGACCCUUUGGAAAGGGGAGUGUGACCCCUGGGGGCCGGGAAGUGCCAGGACACCUUUCGGUGGACAGGUAACAUGAGAGCCACAGGCCAGGAAUAUGAGGGUUUGGAGCCAGCAUAUGGGGAGAAGAAAACCCCCUCCUACCUCAGCUGGUGGUAACCAGCAGGUGAGCUAACUUAAGGGAAAAUGAAAAUAGGGUCGUAACAAGGUGAGAAACUACAGAUAUUAGGCGUCUGUCGUUACUGGGAGAGAAAAUAAAACAGGAGCAUCCUACGUGCCUGAAGAUGAACAUAGCUAUUUCAUCUGUACUUUUCAGAGUAGAUCUCAGAGAAACAACUCUGCCGGGAUUGGAAGUAGUUUCUCACGGGCACCUGGGUGGCACUGGGCAUAGUUACAAUGUGGAAUAGGUCUCCAGAAAACAGCCAUGUUCCUCAUCAUCAGGACACAUACAGCUGCACCGACUCCUGGGGAAUAGAGGGAGUUUAUCUUGUUCCAUAUUCAUAUGAUACUGACCUUGCUAUUUACUUGGAUACAAAGAAUAUAAAAUGUCAAGACAGUCAGAAGCAUGCACUGGCAGAGAUGGGGCAAAGGAUGCUCUCCUGAUCUAGCUCUGUGGCCACAUUUUAAGAAGGAACCAGAAGAGGGUACCUCACAUCAUGCCUCUCAUUUCCCCACACUUCACCCAACUUUUUCUAGUUAAACUCAAGUUUUUACAGAAAGUUUAUUAUUGGCAAAAUUCCGGGCCAGACCUCGAAUGGUGAAUGCAAUAGGAAAAUGCAAAUUAGAACAGAAAAGGGAAUUUUAAUUAUGCCAAUAAUUACAACUGUUUUUCUUUUACCCUCUGCUCUCAGCAACUCUCAACCCUCUUCUCUCACAAUACUGUACAACUUCCAAGGAUUUAUGGUAUUUAUACCCCCCGAAAUAUUUUGGUGCGGAGAGGGAGUUUAGAAAAUAAUACCUCAUGUUGUUUUGUUAAUCCGGCCUUUUAAUGAUACUUCAAUAUUUCCUUUUAUAAGCUCUUAUGAUAUACAGAAUUUUAAGUUGUUCCUCAAUAUUUCCACCACCCGUUGUACAUAUCAUGUAUAAUAAUUCUCUCCCCUUGAGUGUGGGCAGAACUUAUGAACAAGAGAGUCACUCCCAUGAUUAUGUUACAUUAUACUAAGACUCAGUUAUAGCAGGCUAGAGAGAGUCUCCUACUACUUUGAAGAUGUAAGUUGCCAUGUUUUGAAAAGGUCACAUGGCUAAGACCUGAGGGAAACUUAGAAAUUGAGAGCAAUCAUUGGCCAAUAACCAGCAAGAAAACAGAAACCUCCAUCCUACAACCAUAAGGAAUUGAGUUCUGCCAACACACCAUCUGACCUCAGAAUAGACCCUGAGCUCUGGAUGAGAACAUAGCCCAACAGAUACCUUGACUUCUCAGAUGGGUGGGACCAUGACCAGAAGACCUUCAUCAAUGUAGAGACAAACUUUCUGACCUACAGAAAAUGUGAGAUAAUACAUGUGUGUUACCUUAAGACACUAAAUUUGUAGUUAUCUAUUAUCCAGCAAUAGAAUACUCAAACUACUCCCUCCCUGACCCCUGCCAAGUCUUGCUCUCAAGAUAGUAUCACAUAGCACUUACCAUAGUGUGUAUAUAGUUUAUUAUCAGUAUUUUCAAACUACAGAAUUGCUAGAGGUUUGUCACAGUCUUUGAAUAUUUCAUCCUGUGUUAUGUUUUGCCCACUUGUGCUAGAGGCCUAUAACCUGAAUCAAUAUAUUUUCAGCUUUGCCCUGUUUCUACUUCAUGUACCCAUGAAAAGAAAAUGAAUAACAAGAAUGACAUUUAUGUCACCCAGGACAAUGGAAAGAAGGGAUGUUCCUGGUGAGAGAGGGUGGACACCUUCCCUGCCCCAUUUCCUGUGCCCUAUCAUCCUCCACUCCACAUACUCAUCCUUUUCUUACCUCACAGCUGUUUGUGACUGCAUGGUUGGCUGGGAAUACUACUCAUGUUGGCCCUAGAAGUACUCCCUCUAUUUCCAUCUCCAUGUCCUCUCUUCAGGGCUUAUCAACUUCAGUUGCUUCAGAAAACAAAGUGAGGUAAGCUGUUGGUUAAAUUUCCAGAAGCAGGAAAUGUCUAAGAUUACUGCCAUUUGCAACAAUGGUUGAUGUCAUAAAUCAUCAUGGAAGACAAAAAGUUAAAAUGAAGAAAAAAUAUAAAUUAUUUAGAGUAAGCGAGGCAACUCUAUCAUCUAUUUAUCUAUCUAUCUAUCAAUCCAUCUUAAUUUAUGACAUAUUCCCUCAGAAUACCACAGAAUGUGACCUAAUUAGAAGAUAGGGUCAUUAUAGAGGUGCUCAAGUUAAAAUGAGAUAAUCAGGAUAGGCUCCAAACCAAGAUGAUUGGUGUCCUAGAACAGGGGAGAUUUGGACAGAGAGACAGCCAUAGAUUGAGAGAAGACAAUAUGAGGAGACACAGAGACAAAAAAAACCAUUUACAAACCGGGGACAGAAGCCUAGACAGAUCCUUCCCUCACAGUUCUCAGAAGGAACCAAUUCUGCAGACAACUGGAUAUUGGACUUGUAGCUUCUAGGGCUAUGAGACAAUAAAUUUCUGUUGUUCAACUGCCUCAGUCUGUGGCAUUUUGUGAAGGUAGUCGUAGAAAACUAAUACAGCCCCAAGUUUUGCUCUGCAUGUUCCUUGUCUGGUAAGUCAUUGUAUUCAUUCUGCUGUUUGGUCACCAUUUCUUUCUUGAGUAGAUCCCAACUUCAGCCUUCUCUGUACAAGAAAUGUUGUUCCUUCUUCCUUUAUGUUACUAUUUUUUUUAAAUCUAAUUUACUCUCUGUUAUCCGUAACUGUCCCAUGGACCCUGUAGGAACAAGCCCUGAAGAACAUAUUGAUAACUAUUUGAUGAAACUAGGUAACGGUGUAAAAAUUUGGAUGUACUAGGCAAAAUAGGGGAUCAGUGACAAAAUCUGUCUGGAUUGAUUAGAGAGUUCAUGCCACAAAGAGAUGUUACAAAAAUCAAUGUAGGCAUACCUUGAGGGAACUUUGGAGAAGUCUGAAUUUUAUCCUCCAAACAUGAGAAAUCACUGAGGAGAUUUGGCUCUUGUCUUUCAUUUGCCAGGAGUGUUACAAUGGAUCUGGCCUUUCAAGAAGAUGCAUCUGGCUAUACAUCAUUUUAGAAAAUAGAUUAGAAAAAGACCAUAGUCAUGGAGAUCAGAUGGGAGGUUAUGAAACAGUCAUGGGCUAAGGUAUUAAAAACCUAGACAAUAAUCAUACAGUAGAAAUGGGAAGAAAAGAAUUUAUGUGAAAAAUCUUAUGAAGAAAGAAUCAACAAGUCUUACAGGAUUGUAAGAUGACCUUGAGUUCUCCUGCUGGGAAAAGCAAAACUGAUUCACCUGAUACUGAUAAGAAAAAAACAACAACAACAAAUAGCAAGUAGCCUUCAGUAGGUAUUAAUAGUGAUUAGAAAAAUAUUAAGAGUUACUAAUAACAUAUUUUUGUUUCCUAGGUAUCUUCUAGAAACCUCUUCUCAGAUAUGACAUUUAAAGAGUUGAGUUGCUGUUACUUGUUUGAUAAAAUCAUAUGCAAAGAAUUUAACUUCUUUUUGGGGUAGAGAUACUCACUGUUUCCUUCCCAAGUGAAGGACAAUGCCAUUUUUUAUAUAUCAGGAGAACUAGAUUAUACUUACUUUAUGUUGCUGGAAUAAAUACCAAUAUGCACACACACACACAUCCAUACACAUGUAUACAAGCCUUCCUAAAACUGUAUUAUAAAUGACUGUCUUCUUCAAUACUCUUCAGAGGUACCAUGAGAUUUAAUAAAUGUUAAAUUGUAACCUAAAUACUAGUCAUGAAUCUAUUCACCUCCAUUAUUUCUAAAGAACCAAAUUUAAUAUUAGCUAGACCACCUUAAUGUAGAAUCGUGUGACCAACAGGUCAGUUUUACAAUUACUCAGGCUUCUCUGACUCCCUCAUAUUUAAAUCAAUAAACUUAACGUUAUUAAGGACUCUGCAAAUCCUUAUUUGCUUUUCAUCACUUUCUUCCCUUGGAUUCAUUUAGUGCAAAUAAAAUGUGGAAGAUGACAACUAAAGAUAGCAAAAAAAAAAUGCUACAUAAAUAUCAGGAGCACUUGAGAAUUUGGGGGAAAAAAAGAAGCAAUCUUUAUACUUCGCAGACAUUUACUCUUGGAAAUAUAAACAUGAUUCUGGACACAUUGAAAGGUGUCACUAUUUGAAGUGUGACAAAGCAAUGUAAACCCCAGAAGCCGUAAAAUCACAAUCUGCUAUUAUAUGACAUACCUAAAUCUCCAAUCAUUUGGACGUUACCUCCCUGAGCACAAAGUUCCAAGGUUUUUGCAAACUUUUUCAUUCAGCUCCAUACCUCAACCUCGGCCCAACCAGGGACUUACUGCAGUAUAGAAAUGAAAAGUGGGAAAAAUAUGAAAAGAAACAACCUUUGAAAAAUGCUGAUGAAAUGUAACUUUUCCCCAUAAUAAUUUUCUGGCAUUUAUGACAAAGAUUCUCGAUUACUUACAACUUCCAGUGAAUUUCAGUCUUGGCUUAGAUACAACCUCAAGAACUGACAGAGGAGGGAUGUUAAUAUAUCUCUGAGCAGUGAGGGAGUUGUUUUUCAACUGAGGCUGAAGCAAGCAGUGUUUGGAACACCUCAUACUUCAAUGAAAUCCAAUUUUCUCUUACAGGUUUCACUUGGUAGCAAGAAGUCACUCUUACUGCGUGCUUAGAUUCCAACAGCAUCUAUAAAAAAAGAAGCGAAAUAUAAUGACGUUUAGGAGUUUUUUGUUAACUUGCAAAUGUACUUUCAUCUUGUCUGCUUCCAGUGAAUUCUAAUCACUGAGGCAAGACCUCAGACUUCUAACGAUUUGUAGAAAAUUACGUUACCAGUAGUUUCACAUAUCCCCAUGUCAGAACCCUCUGGGUUUGGUGGAAGCAAAACUGUCAGGGAUUUGCUGGCCGACUGGCAUAAUUUUACAGCAAAUGAUAACUGGUAGGGAAGGGAGAUUUCAACAGGGUCCUAUGCCAUGCCAUAGGGGGAUAUGUCAUGUGAGAUUGGAAACUUUCUUGUAGGGAGACAUGAAAAGGUUCACAAAGAUUCAUGGAUACAACUAAUAUUUAAUACAUACUUACUGUUUGUCGGGCCUUCAAAUCAUGAAGUCACCCCAGGCUACCUGGAGAAAUGGAAGCUGGAAAACCUGAUUUAACCUUGGGAAGAAAAUCCAACAGGAAACAGGUUGUUUAUAGUCAUUGAGGUACCUCAGCAGCUCGUUCUGAAACCAGCUACCAUCAUCUAGAACCAUUUUCAGGGUUUUCCAAAUCUGAGAGAUAGCUUACAAUGUCUUCUUCAAUUCCUUGUACAUAUGUGGGAGUUAUCAUUGUUGCUAUCAUUUUUGUAAUUAAUAGAAUAUCAACCACAUUUUAAAUAUGGAAAGAGCUUGGGAGAACUCGAAUGUCCCUAGUAAAAGAAGAGUCUCUAUUCAGAAAGAAUAGCUUUGGACUUUAGUGCACCAUGUUUUAAAUUUUUUUAAAAUCUUUAUUUAUUUUUGAGAGAGAGACAGAGUAGAGUGUGAGCAGGGGAGAAGCAGAGAGAGAAGGAGACAUAGAAUCUGAAGUAGGCUCCAGGCUCUGAGCUGUCAGCACAGAGCCCAAUGUGGGGCUCAAACUCCUGAGUUCUGAGAUCAUGACCUGAGUCGAAGCUGGACGCUCAACCGACUGAGCCACCCAGGCACCCCAGGGCACCAUGUUUAAACUCCAGGUUCAGGAAUGAUGUGAAGGUAGGCCUUAUAAGGAAAUGGAUGGCUUUCCAAAGACUCUAUGGUUAAUUACCCAUGAAUAUGUGAUGCAUUCCUCAAGGUUCUAUGCAGAUUUCAUAGAUGCGAGGUAAUAAAAUCUGUAUUUAUUUAAGCCCAAAGCGAGGUCUCAACUAUUCUGUGUAUUGUAUCCAGAGUCACCCCCAACUGAGGGGUGUUGUAUCCAUGAAUCAGUUCCUUUGUUUAGCAUUUCAUCCACAUCAGAUACAAUUUAACCACUUUAUAUAACCUUAGUAAACUUCCACAAUAACCCCAUGAGUUAAAUAUCAUUAAUAUCCCUGCUUUGAAGACAUGAAAAUGAAGGCCAUGGUCAGACAGCUAGUUUGUGGUAAAGCUCGAUUUUGAACUCAGCAAUGAUCUGUAACCGCUGAUUUUCCUGGACCUGAUGUUGAACACCUUGCUUACUCUACUCGUAGUAGUUUGUCAUCCACACCAAAAAAAGGAAAUUAUAUAGACAGUGAAGGAAGAUUACUGGUAACAUAUUAUCCUGGAAAAUAAAGGCCACUGGGUCAGACUUAGGUCUGAAGAAGCCUUUCCAAGAAUUCGUGAAUAACGGCUUACCACCAGUUCAAUAAAAAAUUGAUGAAACUAUCCCAUCUUUUGCUAGCAGUCAUCUUGAUCCACAGCACAUAAGGAAAUUCCUGUCUCUUCACCCUGACUGUUGGGCAUCAACAACAGAAAUGAAUAUUGAUGGGGGGGAGGUAUAGUUUAGCCUAUAUAACACUAUUCAGAGCAACAAUUAUUAUUUAAUUUCACAAGAAGAUUUAGGUAAUCCUUGAGAGAAUAGAGCAUUUCAGAUUCUGUUUUGUUGUUGUUGGUAUCUUUUUUGUUUUGAUUUUGGUCAAGGGAAGUCAUGUUGAUAAUAGCAGAUAAAAGUAGAAAAAGUCUGAAAUUGAACCAACAGUAGGAUGUGCGGCUCUGUGUGAGAUACGUUGUUUUUGCUGUUGUUUUUUUCCUUUUUGGCAUAUCAGCAUUUUUGUCAGCAGAAACUAAACAGAUUUUUCCUCAACCAAAAAUCCAUUCCUAUUUCUUCUCAUUUCUUUCUCUCCCUGGCACCACGAAAUUGCUGGAGGGGAUGACUGGGCCACUGGAUCUAAAUAUACUCAGCUCUAAUCAUAUUGCAUCAGAAACUGCUACAAAAAUUGAGCUGUAACACAUUAGAAACAUCCAGAGAUUUGGCUCUCAAAGAAACCAUGUUUUCUGUCUUCUGAAUCCCCAAAUGCCUUCAGGGGAACAAAAGAAAACCUACCAAUACAAAGAUCUAAAGGACCUCGUAGACAUGAUAAUGAGGAUACUUUUUUUUUCCCUUCCUGCGGGAAGAAAAAUCCUUGUGGGUUUUCUGCCUACAGAAGAGAAUGGUGUGGCAUUCAGCCUGUUCACUCUUUUUCCUUGACUUCUUCAGGAACUUUGUAUCCCUACUAAAGUACUGUUACAUAAAUGGAGGUCAACUGGCCAGCCUAUAAUUGUUGCAGGAGUUUGUAAGUUUGUUUUACUCAUCAGUAUGUGCACUCAGUUGAGAAUUAGCAGAAGCAGCUAGCUUUAUUAGCAUUGAAGCUGAGCUUCCGUAGUCUAAGGAACUUGGCAAACCCAAGCUCACAAAACACCGGGUCCUCACCCCCACCUCUAACACACACACACAGACACACACACAAUUUUUUGAAACAGUAUCCCACUCUGGACACCAACAAGACCAAGAAGCUCAUUGAAGAGAGCACCUCAGAGAUGAGAAGUGGUAAGAAGGUAUAACUGAUCUACAGUUUCUGAAGGAAUGGAUGACUCUUAAGAGAUGUGCUGUGCUCUAAGCUAGUGAGUGGUUCCAUGUUCUUUGUGCCAUGACUCAUAUUCCAAACCCUAUGUCCUUCCUGCUUUGCCACAGCAAAGCCACCUAUAGCACUGUUUACCUCUGCUAGAAAGUCACUAUGUCUUCAAACUCUGCUAUAGGAGCCUUCUUCUUGCUAAAAAUGGCAGCCACAUCAUGUCACCAAAACUGCCUCUGAUAAUUUGCUCUUCCUUUUCAUGAAUGCCCAGAAAACUAGAGUCAAUGCAAGAUACUUGGAAUGAGAAAAGGGAUAAAUUAAGGUUGUUAAGACUUUGAUGAGAGCUGAGUAGCUUUUCAGCUUUAGUAUGAUCUGACAGAUGGCUUGGAAACCCUGAUGAGAGCUUCAGAUGCAGGGAUUUCAUCAUCAAGGAUGCAGUUCUGGAAAACAUUGCCCUGCUCCCUCACUUACAUAGAUCUCUUAGACUUUAAUUGUAAGCUAUCAACUUUGAUUUCUUUGAUAGUUUUGCAAUCUUGUUUGUUAUAACCAAAUAUUUGCAUUUUGAAUACAGAUAGAUGAUAGAUAGAUAGGUAGAUAGAUAGAUAAACACAGAGGUUCUUAACUCAUUCUUAAUGGCAUUUCCAGGUUUUUAUAAUGCAAAUUUCUCUUUUGGUGCAGCAUGCUAGUCAGGAAUGUCAGUGUUUCAAAAUGAUUCCAAUGUACGUGUGUAUGUGAAGUUCAUCUUAUUCUAUUCUCUUUGGACUUGGUGCAGACAUUCUUUUCCCCAAGGUUGUCUUACAUUCAGCUAAAGAUGAGGAAAUUUUAAAGCUAAGCCCAUUUGUAAAUUGGGAAUUGCCUGCCAAUAAAAGCCAUGUGCAAUCUCAAAUCCUGAUUUUAAUCAGAAGUUUCCAAUUUUUCACUAAGUAAACCUUUAUGCCAGAAUGCUCACGAGAGAAUCCUGAAGUAUCAUUAGCAUAAUGGUGCAGCCUUAGGGAUUAUGAGCAGAACAGAUCUGGGCUGAAGUCCAACUCUGCCACUAACUAGCUGUGUGACCUUGGGCCAGUUUCAUUUGUAUUAACCUCAGGUAGUAGCUCUCUCAUUUGGCUUUUGUGGGGAUCAAAUAAGCUAAGGCAUGAAGAAUGCAUUGUUUAAUGUCUGAAACAUGAUGAGUACUCAGUAAGUAUUACCUAAUGUUAUAUUUGCCCCUAGAGCUUUCAGAGAAACUGAACACACGUCAUUUACAAAAGAACAAAAAGUAGACUGGCACCAGACUUUUCAUCAGAAAGACUGAGGCUAACAGACAGUAAGAAUUACUUUCCAAGUUUUGAGACCAGGAGAUCUAAAAUUCCAUAUCCAGCCAAAGUACAAAUAACAUAUGUCAAUGCCCACCAAUCAAAAAACCACCAGGAACUCACCAAUAGUUGAGUAAGGUUGAGUUUAUUCAUUCUUGCUGCAGGAAAGGAAGAUCUCACCACUUGGGGAAGCAUGGGCAUCUCUGUAAGCAGGUGUUAAGACAGUUUUGUUAUAGGAUUUAGUCCUGUUGCGAGUGGUGUUGUAAAAAAUGCAAAGGGGUAGGCUUUGCUUUGAUUUAGGCAUUAUCGGCAGAUCCCAUGAUUAGGUAUCUUAAUAACUGUUAUCUGGAAAUCAGGAGAAAUGAACAGGUAGGUCUAAACUUAAUUGGCAUGAAAGCAACAGUCAUUCAUAUUAGCUAAGAGUGAAGAGCCUGGACAUUUGCACGGUCGGAUCUGUGUUCUUCUUUUUGUAUGUGCUCAGACCUGAUUAUAAAGUGAUCCUGUUUUUUUUUAAUUUUUUUAUUUUAAAUUUUAUUUUAUUUUAUUUUAUUUUAUUUUAUUUUAUUUUAUUUUAUUUUUUACUUGAGUGUGAUUGACACACAAUGUUAUAUUAGGUUCAGGUGUACAAUUCAGUGAUUUGAUAAGUUUACACAUCAUGCUAUGUUCUGUCCCAUUAAAUCCUGUGUUUUCUAUUUGUUUCAUCACGGUCAUGUGUCUGAUGUUGGCGUUCUGUGAAAUUGCUUAUUUUACCAGGGAGCAUAACUAUUACCAGGCCUGCUACCAGUUGAUGGAAUUUGUUACUUCUCAGUACAAGGAAAAAUAAGGAAAUUUUCAGACAUGCAAGGAUUCAGGGCUUUCCCCAUCCGGGCCCUGCACAUGGCAGUGGCCAUGGCUAUGCAUUCCCAGUCCUCACCACCCCCAGCCUGCACACAUCUGGAAAGGAGCAGCAGCAACAGAAGACAUUAAUGAAACCUUAUACGCAAGGAGCCACUAGAACAAGGCAAAACUAUUUAUAUUUUAAAAGGCAGACUGUAUUCUAUCAUCUAUUCCCAAGAUGAAACGAAUAGAGGAUCAAUCAACCCGCAAACAGGCAAGGAAGGAGAUCGCCCUCCACUCUCCUAUCAUGUGUCUCUUUCCUCGAAGUUACUCCUGGUCAAAUGGGACAAAGGCCUUUCUGGAAUCUAUAAGAGAACACCUUGUCAUGUCUGUGUGUUAGCACAGCAUGAUGGGCCAGUCAGUGCAUCACAAAUAUUCAUCCACCGCCUAUGGUGCUUCUAGAAGAUUGCAAGCCUCUGGGGGCAGAGGAAGACCACAUGCUGCCUUCUGGGACUUUCACUCUUAACAUUGCAAACAGGCUUCAGUCAAAUAAUUAAAUAACUGGUAACAUACAAAUUGUUAUUUAAGAAAAGCACCACACACAAAUGUUGUGGUUAAUCUCUUCCAGAUAUAUGUGAAUGACCAUGGGCAAAAGCAACCGCAUAGAACAGGCAUUAAUUAAGCUCUUACUAAGGAUGCUACAUUAAAGGUCUUAGCAAAAUCCUUGGUAGAGACUAUAUGUUCUAUAAAUGACAAUGUAUAAAUAGCCCCCUGCUAUUACAUUGUGGAAUUACAUAUUUCCACACCUAAUUCCACUUCCAUUUCACUCAAAUUAGACUAGGAAUAUUAUAAAAGGCACGCCACCUUUAUAGUAUUAAUUGGUGUACCAACCCAAAAGAGUUGGUAUACAAAGCGUCCAGAGGCCUAACUAGUGGUGGGAAUCUCUCUUUUUCCUCACUACCUACCCUUUUUAAGGUCUCUGCAAGCUCAGUUCCUGGUUUAUGACAGAUGAUAUAGUAGAUAAAACAUGGGAGUUAGACUUAGCUAAACUUGGAUGUAAGCUAUGCUCAACCAGUGAUUGGGAAGAUAAACUUAACUCAUUUGUGAAAUGGAAAUAAUAAUAUUUGCUGCAUAGAAUUUCUAGAAGCCUGAUAUGAGGGUACAUACAAAAGGACCAAAGAGGACCACUGGCAGGGAGGACUGGGAUGCUUGAGCUGUUCUUUGAGGACAGACAAGAUUCAAUUCUAUAUUUAAAGGCCAUAGAUGACAAACCAGCCAUGCACUGAUACCUUGCAAGGAUAAUGGGGUAGUCUUCCCAUUUGUCCUAAGCACAGUCUGAGCACUGAUGUAAAAUAGUGAUUAAGUUUCUACCAGCAAAGUGGCUCAUAGUGGAAGACGGGGGCAGCCUGCUUUGGCGUCUGUUUAAAUACCCAAAUGGAGCCCAAGUCAAACUCAAAGACACCUCAAGAGUCAACCUACUGUCCCUGUUUCAUCAAAGCUAAAUGGCAGAUCCUGUUUCUGCCUUACUUACAGUCUCAUUCCAAACCGUCAGCUUGGGCUUUCUUUAUUAUACCCUGCAGUCUCUAAAUUGCUGUGCAGGAUUUUCUGAGAAUUCGUCCGUGUGAACAUCGUGUGCUGCUGGAUGUACGCAUGCACUUGCACAAAUAAGUAAUGGAGAGCUGGCUUGGGAAGGAGGAAUUACAUUUUUUUUUCUUCAAAUGACAUAUUUGAGCAUUAAAAACAAUGCAUUCUGUUCUCCUGCUAGCAAGGAAUAAUGAAACUAGAGCGUCGCCUUCCCAGUAGCUCCUGCCUUUGAAUCGUGCAAAGCAGAAAGGAUCCUCAGUUUAUAGGCAGCAACAGCCUCCAGAAGCUACAGGAACAUUGCCAAGAGCUCUGAAAAACCUCCACAGCUAAUUGGGAACCGGCUUAUUAGUGACACUUUUGAGAGUCAGGUUGUCAUUGAAGAGAAACGAAGGAGAACACGGUGGGCGCUGUAGCCUGGAAUUAGGCAGUGGGAGGGAGGGCUGGUUCCUUCUCCUCACAAGAACAUUGCUCUGUAAUUUUCUCAAACGCUGUGCUCAGCUGCUUGCAAAAGCCCUGAAUCUUGGGAGGCUGCAGGCAACACCUUAGCCUCCACAGUGGCUUGAAUGCUAUCCCCCACCAUCCACAUUUGGAGAGCUGGGUGGCCGUUUCAAAGAUACCCUGAAUUAGUUAACGCAACCAAGAUAAAUGCGUCCCGUCCUCUGAGUAGCAGCCUCUUGAACCUGUGUCUCCAUUUUUUUGUGUAGUUAACUCAGAAUGUUUAUUUCACAGUCACAGACAAUUCCAGUAGCAAAUAAUCCUCAGGUUUUUGUUUAAAUAAUAAAAACUCAGCAAAGAGAUAAAUAAGCUGAAGAAUUUAAUAUAUUUUUUUUAAAUAACAUGUCAAAAUACCAGUCAGGUCAUAUUUAAAGUCAGGCUCUUGAUGCACUGUAAGAAAGGAAUUGUUAUUAUUAUUUUUAGGAAGGUGAUUGCCAGUGUCAGUCCAGCUGCAGUUAAGCAGAAUGCUAUGUCCUGAGUGUUGCCUUUGAGUUUCUCAUGAGAUGUUGCACUGAUAACAAACUGCGUUUCUCUGCUCCCUUCCUCUGGAAGGAUCGUCCCUGAUCUGGAUAACAUUUUUUGAGUUCUGUGCUAAGAUUCUGGUCCUCACUACCCCCGCCCACAGAAGAUGAAGAAAAUCUGUGUCUUUGUGCAUUAGCCAUGAGAGCUGUUUGAGCUGGGUAAGCAUACACCUCUUCCAUUUGAUAUGCUCCCUGCUGGAUGAAAUGAUGGAAUCUACUUGCUGCCCUGGUGGAAGGAAGGAAGCCUAGAUCCUGGAAUUAACUCCUAGGUUCUAUACUGAGGUGGGAACAACCCCAGGAAACUUUUCCUGAUGGUACUACAAGUCCAUUUGAGCACAGAGACUGCAUCGUGAGAAAUAUAGUUGACAGGCAUCUGUUUACUGCCUUAUUCCACCAAUUGCCUUUCUCAUCUCAGCAAAUUCACUCCACUUUCCUCAUCAUAAGGAUUCAGCCUUCGUGUAUUCCGUAAUUCAACCCAACCUGUAAUACGAUAGUUCCCUGAAUCUCUCUUUAGCUCUUGCUCUUGACAUACACAGACACACCCACAUACACCACCCCAAACAAACAUGCAUUUUAGGGGCACACAAAAUCGGGCUGGUUGCCUACCCAAUAGUUGACCAUUUUCCCCUCCUUUCUUUUUCACUGGAACAGUCUGCCUCCCACAAAAGAACCUAAAAUAACAGUUAACAGCAUUCCUAGCUUUCUUGCUGCCAGAGGUGCUGAUGUGACACAAUUCUAGGGUGGCCAUGUGACAGAAUCCUAGAGUGGAAACGUGACAUGGUUGUGGGGUACACUGUGACAGUCCUGCAGUAGCAAUGUGAUGAUGUGUCACAUUUCUAGAGUGGCCACAUGACAAAGUUCUUGGGUAGCAAAGUGACACAUUUCUGGUAUAGACAUAUGACACUAUUCUGGGUUGGUCAUGUGGCAUGGUACUUGGGUAGCAACGUGACACAGGUCUCAGUUGGCUAUGGGACACAGUCCUGGGGUGGCAACGUAACACGGUUCUGGAGUAGCCAUAGAAACAUUCCUGGGAUGGCUGUGUGCCAGGUAUGGGAUGGCUAUAUCACACAGGAGAUGACCAUGUGAAACAAUUCUGGUCAACGAAGCCUGAAGGACAUCUGAGAGAGAACUUCCAGGCAAGAGUCUCCCAUAUAAAGAGGGAUAUGGAAAAAGACCUUUCUCACCACUGGAACCUCCCUUUUCCUUCUCCCUUUGGAACACAUUUACAUGAAGUUAAGCAAAUUCAACCUUUAAUAUAUUCUUCGUACUUCAUACUUUGUUUUUUUCAUAAUAAAAGUUUUCUUCAAGUCAUAUAAAGACUGCAAACUCCCUCCCAUUUUCCCAAAUAUUUUGUGCAGAUACUGUAAUUGUGUGUGUGUGUGUGUGUGUGUGUGUGUGUGUGAUAUGAUAUGAACGAGGUUAGGAAGCACACAGAGAAAGCAUUUACCAAUCAAGUGUUAGUAACGUCAAUAUCUGCCUUUCCCUGUUUUCCAGAUGCAUCAACACAAAACGAGACUUUCACGAAAGGUGAAUUUAAGUAGAAUCCUGCUUCACUCCAAACCUCUCCAUUUCAAACCUUAGAACCACGAGUGUAGCCUAAGGAAAGGAAAUAGAGAGCCCUGAGUUAAUUUGUCCUCUCACUCAUUCUCAGCCAAAAAGAGUCUCUUAUUUUUGGUCCUCACAGAAGCUGAUCCUGGGAAAAAUAAUCUCAGAGAUUUUCCCCAGGAUUCUGGCAACAGGCUGUGAGGCAGUUUUAAUUUUCAGGAAUGGUGUUGUGCAACUUUAUUAAGAAGUUAGGAGAAGCUGAGUAAGUAGACGGGGACAAAGCACCGUUUCAAAAUACAGCUCCAGCUACUACCUUUGUAAGUGCUUCUCUAAGAACUUUCACAACGUCUGACCCUUUAUCAUUCUAGCUUCUUGUAUCUCUUAAUUCUUAACAAGUUCUACUUCCCUUUCACUGAAAAGUAGAUGUGGCACAGUUGGCUGAUAGAGCUUUAUCACAUGGACACUCUUCUCAUGUACCACUUUGCUGUGAACUCAGAUAAACCAAAUCUAUAUACAAGUGAGGUGUGGACUUCCUCCCCACAAAGCAUCGGGCUUUUCAUUCCCAUGUAUUUUCUCUGCUUGUCUUUGUUUUCUUUCACUGGGAAUUAAAAUUUAAGACUAUAUCUAUACAUCAGCAUCUGACCUCAUGUAUAAAAUAUAACCACAUACAACCUAACACUCUUCUUCCAAAAUCUAAUUCUUCUCCGUAGCUAUCCUUGGAAUUGUCUGACAGCUGGUGCCAUAUUCCGUUCAGAUUAACCCUCUGUAAUGUCACCAGUUUUGUAUCCUAGGAGGAUGAAUUUUCAGCUAAGCGUUAAAUAUUUUAUCAGGUUAUGUAAAACAUAAUCCAUUGGGUUUGAAAGUGAACCAUUAUUUCAAACUAUCACCAUGAACUGUCUGUAUCUUAUUUUCAGGAGACCAGCAAGAGAAAAUAUUAUGCACAAAAAUGAUUGAAACAACAUAUGUUUUAUUCACUGUUAUGAUCUUCUCAGAGACAACUGAAAGGAUAAUCUUUUUUGUCAGAACAAAUUUCAGAACAAGAUUCUCUCCGGGGAAAGAAAAAUGAAAAAUGGAUUAUGCAGGUUUCUGUGUCCCUCUAUGAAAUUAUUUGACCUCUGCAGGAAGAAAUGUAAUUCAUUAUAUAAGAAGAAUUUAUUGAGUAGCUACUGUUUUCAAGCCUCUUUACUAUAUCCUAGUCUAAAAAAAAAAGAAAGAAAAGAAAAAGAAGAAGAUAGGUUUCUAGCCUUUAAUAAAUAUAUACGCUUGUUCAAACACCAAUACAAAGGAAUCACCUGACUAUAAAAGCUAUGAAGGAAACAUUACUUUUCCAUCCACCAGGGUUCUUGAUCCUCUGCCCAGCCAUUCCUUCCUCCACUAAGCCUAAUAACACCCUUUACCAAAAAAUGUGAUAUAAUGUCCCUGUAUGUCAGUACAGAGCAUCUGGAUAACCUCAACCCCUCCUGAUGUUUGGACAAAUAUAGAGAGGUUCAAUUUUCAGAAAACAUUCAUGGCUUCUGAAAUUUCAUCCAACUUUUUUGUGAGCACUUAGUCUUUACCAGGUAUUUCUCUAGGAAAUUUCACUUCCAUUGUCAUAUUUGCUUGC